rnacentral:rRNA from 1 species
CAAUAGCGUAUAUUAAAGUUGUUGCAGUUAAAAAGCUCGUAGUUGGAUUUCGGGGCAGCCUGGCUGGUCCGCCGCGAGGCGAGUACUGGUCAGCCGCCCUUCCUCUCGAAAGCCCCGACUGCUCUUUAUUGCAGUGGUCGGGUAGUUCGGGACGUUUACUUUGAAAAAAUUAGAGUGUUCAAGGCAGGCCUACGCCUGAAUACAUUAGCAUGGAAUAAUGGAAGAGGACCUCGGUCCUAUUUUGUUGGUUUCCAGGACCGAAGUAAUGAUUAAGAGGGACAGUUGGGGGCAUUCGUAUUUAAUUGUCAGAGGUGAAAUUCUCGGAUUUAUGAAAGACGAACAACUGCGAAAGCAUUUGCCAAGGAUGUUUUCAUUAA